CUUCACAAAAUUUCCGAAGGUUGCUGUAAGUCAAACUGUUUAUUAUGUGUUCUGUUUGUAUUGUUAAAGCAAUUUUAGAUAUCUGGAAACACUUACAGUGUUUCAGUUUUUCCUUAUGGAUCAUGAUUUGUAUUUCUCUGAGAUGUUUCACUGUCCUGCAGCCUCCUUCUUUGGUCCCCUUUUCUAGUGAGCAUGGCACCUCAAGCUGCACAGAGUGAUCCAGUUAAAACCUCAGUGUUUAACAAAGGAAUAUUAUUUAGUGGGUACAAAAAUGAUCUAAUUUAGUGUCCUUACUUUUCUUAACACACCGUUGCCUGCAGUUUGUAGCUCCUGUCACUCCCUAUCCUUCUCCAUGUAAUUCCUGCCUACUCACACUUUCUUAUUUUAUGCUUCUCCAGAUGAUUAUUCUGAAGGGUACUGUUCUGCACUUCCUGUUGAAGCUCUGGUCUGUGACAGCUUAGCUGCCUGGACUGCAGCAGACAAGUUACUGGAGACUGAACAGAAGGAAUGUGAGAAGGAGCCAUUGAAGAUUUUGUACUAAAAGUAUCAGGUGGUUGUGAAUGACUGCCCUUGGGAAAUUCACUUUAUCCUCUGGCCAGAAAUGUUUCUUCUUAACAUUUAGUUUUGCUUUUUGAUUAGUCUGUGUUUGUACAGCCUCCUCUUGGAGGGACAGGCUGGAAAUUUGUACCAGUAUUUGCUUUUGCAUGCUCAAACACUACUGUGCUUCCUGAAAAAAAAUUCUAGAAAACAACUAUAUCAUGCAGAAAACAGAAAUUAUCAUAAAUUAAACCUCUGACAGUAAAAGGAAUACAAGAAGGUAAUUGUACAAUUCCUUAGUCUGUUCUGAUUUUGGUUGUGUGGAAAUUCCUAUAAGACAUGAAAAUCUUGCUUGCUUACUUACAUGACAAAAGAGGAAAAAGGCCUUUUUUUUUUUUAGCAGAACAUACUGUUUAAACAAACACCACAGUGAACCAAGACAGCUAAAGCCCAGUCCCUUUGUCCAGAGCAGUGCUGGUGGCACAUUGCUGUGACCCCAUUGCACCAGUCACCCCCCAGGAUGCACUUCCCCAGGGAUGGAUCCUGGUCCCUGUGCUGUGUCAGCCAGGAGAGGAGAAGGACAGACCCCUGCUGUCACCAAGGACACCCCAAAUCUCUCCUGAGCCUCGUCCAAAAAGAUAUCUUGCACAGAGGAAUAAUUGUGCUAUAUUCUGAAGGGAAUGAAUGACAGAGUAUCUAAGAUCAUACAUCUAAGUCUCCGUGAUGUGGAAACUCCAGUAUGGACUGUAAUCCAAGAUCAGGAAGGAGACAAUGCAUUGCCAUGUGAAACACAACGCAGAUCAAAAUAAGUUUUCAGUGUGCCACCAAAACCACAGUAUUAGGUUUCUGUUAAGGAGAAUGAGUAAUACCAUUCUAGCUGUAAAGGUUGCUGUGAGUGGGUAAUAAUUCCAUCUAACUGAUAGGGCAGAUUGUGUAUUCUGCAAGAAAAUAAAUAAUCCCAGGCAAAAUCUUUCCCUAUUUCUUCAGCUCAAUAAGAAAGCCCACCCACCAUAGCCACGUAGCUGAAGCUGCUCUAGGCAUACUUGUCUAACUUUAGGAUUCAGGGACAGAUCUGUUCUCCAUCCUACAUGCCCAAACCAGCCUUUUUCAGGAACACAUUGCCUCCAACCUUGGUGUGGAAUGAGGAAUCUGUUCCUGCUGCUGCUCCCAGGAUGUGGGAUGUGGGUUGACCCUCAGCUCUGCAGCUGCAGACAGUGUGUGUCAAGGCCCCUCUCAGAGCUUCUCUCCCCAUUUCUCUUAAAGAGUGUGGGCUUCAGACCUUUCUGUGCACCCAGGGAAGUUACUGACCCAGCCAGGGCUCACCCCAGGUCCCUCCUGGAGGGGGAUAUGGAUCUGUUCAGAAGAGGAAUCCAAUCACCAUUUCAAAUUUUGUGUGCCAGCCUAUUCUCCAUAGAGAGCACAAACUGACAGAACACAGGUAACAUAUUGUUCAUGCUGUGCCGAUUUCUUACUUUGUUUCGCCAGGGAAAAUAGAUUAAAAUUAGUAUUAAGUUUCUUUCUUGUUCUUCCAAUAAUAGAAAAUUACCAGGGGAGAGAAAAUAAGACAGAGAUUUUGUUCUCUAGAAAAGCCUUCCAGCUCAAUGGAUUUUUUUUAAAUAUUAUGAAACAUUCUUGCCUGCCUUAAUAGAUGAGAAAUGUAACAGUAGAACUGUGAAACAAAUGAAAAACAUUGACCCAUGGACCAUAGCUAAAUUCAUAUUUGUGAUAGUGUUGCAGAUCAAUAAUACAAUGCUGUACUGAUGCUAUAUUGUAUACAAUGAUUUGUUGCAAUGAUAGUUAUGGGUGAGGUUCUAAACAGACACUGCAACAUCUAAUAAAGGACUGACCUACUAACAGAUCUAAUAAAAACAUCUAAUAAGAUGUGACAAGCACAUACAUAAACUAAUCCAAAACCUAAUGAUUUGUUUUGCAGUUUCAUGAUAAAACUUUUUAUUGUAUUCUGUCUUUAUUAUUUAACAUUAAGAAAAUAUUUUCAUUUAUAAAUUUUAAAUGCUACUGGUCUUAAAUUUUUG